rnacentral:rRNA from 1 species
CGGGGGGGCAAGCGUUGUUCGGAAUUACUGGGCGUAAAGGGCUCGUAGGUGGCCAAUUAAGUCAGACGUGAAAUCCCCAGGCUCAACCUGGGAACUGCGUCUGAUACUGGUUGGCUUGAAUUCGGGAGAGGGAUGCAGAAUUCCAGGUGUAGCGGUGAAAUGCGUAGAUAUCUGGAGGAAUACCGGUGGCGAAGGCGGCAUCCUGGACCGAGAUUGACACUGAGGAGCGAAAGCCAGGGGAGCAAACGGGAUUAGAUACCCCGGUAGUCCUGGCCCUAAACGAUGAAUGCUUGGUGUGACGGGUAUCGAUCCCUGUCGUGCCGAAGCUAACGCAUUAAGCAUUCCGCCUGGGGAGUACGGUCGCAAGGCUG